rnacentral:rRNA from 9 species
AAAAGCAGGGGAUCGCAAGACCUUGCGCUCUUGGAGCGGCCGAUGUCUGAUUAGCUAGUUGGUGAGGUAAAGGCUUACCAAGGCGACGAUCAGUAGCUGGUCUGAGAGGACGACCAGCCACACUGGGACUGAGACACGGCCCAGACUCCUACGGGAGGCAGCAGUGGGGAAUUUUGGACAAUGGGGGAAACCCUGAUCCAGCCAUGCCGCGUGAGUGAAGAAGGCCUUCGGGUUGUAAAGCUCUUUCAGCCGGAACGAAACGGUCACGGUUAAUACCCGUGACUACUGACGGUACCGGAAGAAGAAG